GACAGAGGGUGCAAACGUUGUUCGGAAUUACUGGGCGUAAAGCGCGUGUAGGCGGCCCUGCAAGUCGGAUGUGAAAUCCCACGGCUCAACCGUGGAAGUGCAUUCGAAAACUGCAGGGCUAGAGUCCUGGAGAGGAAGGUGGAAUGCUUGGUGUAGAGGUGAAAUUCGUAGAUAUCAAGCGGAAACACCGGUGGCGAAGGCGGC
rnacentral:rRNA from 1 species